UUCCUACUCCUUCCGGUUGGAAUUACCCGUCCAAGAAAUGAAUGUAUCGAUGUAUUUUAGUUGUAGAUACAUUCAUUAUUAUUUAUUUUUGUGACAAGUAAUUCCAAAUGGAGGGAGUAUAAG
rnacentral:pre_miRNA from 1 species